GAGGAAGGUCAGCGCCUCGGAGUGGGGCCGCUGGGAGGUGCUUAGGCCAUGAGGACUCCGACCUGCCUUGUUGGCUGUUGAAGACACAGUAUUGCCACUUGAAUUCAGAAAUGAGAUUACCCAAUCGCUAAGCCCAUAGAAAUUCUGAGCGCUGUAGCCAGGGUAAAAGAAUCGUUGGUCUGCUCAGCCCUGUGGAGCCAGGAAAUGAGCCACCCAGGCCCAAAGACCUUUGCAGUCCACAAAAAAACAGAAGAAUGUGUCUCUGAAAUUCCUCAGAAAUCAAAACUAAGGCGCAGGCUAAGCUCCCUGUUGAAUACUUCCAAGUACUGGAUUAGCAGCUGCACUUGCCGUUGAUGGGAGAUGAAUUUUCCUGAAGAUGGGAAGCUGUUCUUCUGAGGUCAUCCUCGUUGUAUCCCAGUAGCAGGGAUUCUCCGAGGACCCGGAAACAGCGACACUCCAGCAGCACUCCAGCAUCCAGAUCUUGGCAUCAGAUGUCACUUUUCAAUAAAAGGAACCAAGGGCUCUUUGGAGGAAUGAACCUAAGUCUGGGGUGGGAAAUCUAUAAAAUUAGUCUACAGGCCCAGGAUACGGCUCAGCAGCAUAGUGCCUGCCUAGCAAGUGUGAGGUCCUGAGUUUGCUUCCCUAUA